rnacentral:rRNA from 1 species
GAGGUGCCAAGCGUUAGGCGGAAUCACUGGGCUUAAAGCGUGUGUAGGCGGUUCGUUAAGUACCUUGUGAAAUCCCACGGCUCAACCGUGGAACUGCUGGGUAUACUGGCGAUCUUGAGCCACCUAGGGGCGAGCGGAACAAGCGGUGGAGCGGUGAAAUGCGUAGAUAUCGCUUGGAACGCCAAUGGUGAAAACAGCUCGCUGGGGGUGUGCUGACGCUGAGACACGAAAGCCAGGGGAGCGAACGGG